ACCUGCCCACUGAUUAAUUGAAUGGCCGCAGUAAUUUGACUGUGCAAAGGUAGCAUAAUCAUUAGUUUUUUAAUUAAAAGCUUGUAUGAAAGGUUGGACGAAGUAAAAUCUGUCUCUAUUUAAUUUAUUUUAGAAUUUAAUUUUUAAGUUAAAAAGCUUAAAUUUUUAUAAAAGACGAGAAGACCCUAUAGAUCUUUAUAUUAUUUUAGAUAAUUUUAAUUAAGAAUAUUUUAUUUUUUAUUUAUAUUAAUAUUUUAUUGGGGUAAUAAAGAGAUUAAAUUAAUUCUUUUUUUAGAUUAAUAUUUAUUUGUAGUUUUAUGAUCCAAUAGUUUUGAUUAGAAGAUUAAGUUACCUUAGGGAUAACAGCGUAAUUUUUUUAGAGAGUUCAUAUCGAUAAAAAAGUUUGCGACCUCGAUGUUGGAUUAAAAAUUAUUCUAGGUGCAGAAGUUUAGAGUUUUGGUCUGUUCGACCAUUAAAUUUUU
rnacentral:rRNA from 1 species